GUAGGUGGCAAGCGUUGUCCGGAAUUAUUGGGCGUAAAGCGCGCGCAGGUGGUUCUUUAAGUCUGAUGUGAAAGCCCCCGGGCUCAACCGGGGAGGGUCAUUGGAAACUGGGGAACUUGAGUGCAGGAGAGGAAAGUGGAAUUCCACGUGUGGCGGUGAAAUGCGUAGAUAUGUGGAGGAACACCAGUGGCGAAGGCGACUUUCUGGCCUGUAACUGACACUGAGGCGCGAAAGCGUGGGGAGCAAACAGGAUUAGAUACCCUGGUAGUCCACGCCGUAAACGAUGAGUGCUAAGUGUUGGGGGGUUUCCGCCCCUCAGUGCUGCAGCUAACGCAUUAAGCACUCCGCCUGGGGAGUACGGCCGCAAAGACUG
rnacentral:rRNA from 1 species